AGAAACUUAGGAUAACCCAUAAACCGAAGGCCUUCAAAGCCUUAAACAAGAGUUAAACCCUCUUAGUUUCUG
rnacentral:tRNA from 1 species